CAGUCGCCGCGGUAAUACGAAGGGUGCAAGCGUUACUCGGAAUUACUGGGCGUAAAGCGUGCGUAGGUGGUGGUUUAAGUCCGUUGUGAAAGCCCUGGGCUCAACCUGGGAAUUGCAGUGGAUACUGGGUCACUAGAGUGUGGUAGAGGAUAGUGGAAUUUCUGGUGUAGCAGUGAAAUGCGUAGAGAUCGGAAGGAACAUCUGUGGCGAAGGCGACUAUCUGGGCCAACACUGACACUGAGGCACGAAAGCGUGGGGAGCAAACAGGAUUAGAUACCCCGGUAGUCCCUGUCUCUUAUAC
rnacentral:rRNA from 1 species